GUUAUAGUAGUUUAAAUUAAAACAUUGGUCUUGUAAACCAAAGAUAGAUCUAUAAAUCUCUAUAACU
rnacentral:tRNA from 1 species